CAAGGAAGGCAGCAGGCACGCAAAUUACCCAAUCCCAGCUCGGGGAGGUAGUGACGAAAAAUAACAAUGCGGGACUCUUCCGAGUCUGCGUAAUUGGAAUGAGCACACUUUAAAUCCUUUAGCAACAACCAAUUGGAGGGCAAGUCUGGUGCCAGCAGCCGCGGUAAUUCCAGCUCCAAUAGCGUAUAUUAAAGUUGUUGCGGUUAAAAAGCUCGUAGUUGGAGGUCAGUUCCGGACUGGGGUGGGAGGUCACCGCCCGGUGCUUCCCCGUCAGGCUCCGAACAGCUUCCGUGAGUGGAAGCCAAGCCGGUUCUGCCGGGGUGCUCUUUACCGAGUGUCCCGCGCGGCCGGCCAGUUCACCUUGAAUAAAUGAGAGUGCUCAAAGCAGGCUACUCUGGAAUACAAUGCCCGAAUGUUACCUGCAUGGAAUGAUGGAAGAUGAUCUCGGUUCCAUUUUGUUGGUGGUGGGAGCCAGAGGUAAUGAUAAAGAGGGACUGUCGGGGGCAUCCGUACUACGACGCGAGAGGUGAAAUUCAGUGACCGUCGUAGGACGAACAACAGCGAAAGCAUUUGCCAAGAAUGUCUUCGUUGAUCAAGAACGAAAGUUAGAGGAUCGAAGGCGAUCAGAUACCGCCCUAGUUCUAACCCUAAACGAUGCUGACUAGCAAUUCGCCGUCGUUAUUCCAAUGACGUGGCGAGACGCCCCCGGGAAACCUCAAGUCUUUGAGUUCCGGGGGUAGUAUGGUUGCAAAAGUGAAACUUAAAGGAAUUGACGGAAGGGCACCACCAGGAGUGGAGCCUGCGGCUUAAUUUGACUCAACACGGGAAAGCUCACCAGGCCCGGACACCAGAAGGAUUGACAGAUUAAGAGCUCUUUCUCGAUUUGGUGGGUGGUGGUGCAUGGCCGUUCUUAGUUGGUGGAGUGAUUUGUCUGGUUAAUUCCGGUAACGAACGAGACUCUGGCCUACUAAAUAGUGGACGUUGGUUUUGGUGCAUGGGCCACGUUCGAUACAGUCUUCUUAGAGGGAUGAGCAGCGAGUAUAGCUGCAGGAGAUUGAGCAAUAACAGGUCUGUGAUGCCCUUAGAUGUCCUGGGCCGCACGCGCGCUACACUGAAUGGGUUAGCGGGUUGUCCUUUUCCGAGAGGAGCGGGAAAUCGCGUGAAAACCAUUCGUGAUAGGGAUUGGGGCUUGCAAUUGUUUCCCAUGAACGAGGAAUUCCCAGUAAGCGCAAGUCAUCAGCUUGCGUUGAUUAAGUCCCUGCCCUUUGUACACACCGCCCGUCGCUACUACCGAUUGAAUGAUUUAGUGAGGCCUUCGGACUGGCGGUCUUGGACUGGGUCGGCGGGUUUGUUCCAGCAAUGGGAUGCCGUCGACUCGCCUAGACGAGCCGGAAAGAUGUCCAAACUUGAUCAUUUAGAGGAAGUAAAAGUCGUAACAAGGAAUCC
rnacentral:rRNA from 1 species